rnacentral:rRNA from 1 species
CCUACGGGGGGCUGCAGUGAGGAAUAUUGGUCAAUGGACGAGAGUCUGAACCAGCCAAGUAGCGUGAAGGAUGACUGCCCUAUGGGUUGUAAACUUCUUUUAUAUGGGAAUAAAACAGGGUACGCAUACCCUCUUGUAUGUACCAUAUGAAUAAGGAUCGGCUAACUCCGUGCCAGCAGCCGCGGUAAUACGGAGGAUCCGAGCGUUAUCCGGAUUUAUUGGGUUUAAAGGGGGCGGAGGUGGGCUGUUAAGUCAGGUGGGAAAGUCCGGGGCUCAACCGUAACAGUGCAGUUGAAACUGGCAGGCUGGAGUACAGUAGAGGUAGGCGGAAUGCGUGGUGUAGCGGUGAAAUGCUUAGAUAUCACGAAGAACUCCGAUUGCGAAGGCAGCUCACUGGACUGCAACUGACGCUGAUGCACGAAAGUGUGGGUAUCAAACAGGAUUAGAUACCCUUGUAGUC